UACGUAGGGGGCAAGCGUUGUCCGGAAUUAUUGGGCGUAAAGCGCGCGUAGGCGGCUACCUAAGUCGGAUGUGAAAGCCCCUGGCUUAACCGGGGAAGUGCACCCGAAACUGGGUAGCUAGAGUGCAAAAGAGGGUCGCGGAAUUCCCAGUGUAGAGGUGAAAUUCGUAGAUAUUGGGAGGAACACCGGUGGCGAAGGCGGCGACCUGGGUUGACACUGACGCUGAGGCGCGAAAGCGUGGGGAGCAAACAGG
rnacentral:rRNA from 1 species